rnacentral:rRNA from 1 species
UACGUAGGGAGCGAGCGUUGUCCGGAUUCAUUGGGCGUAAAGAGCUCGUAGGCGGCUUGGUAAGUCGGAUGUGAAACCUCCAGGCUCAACCUGGAGUCGCCAUCCGAUACUGCCAUGGCUAGAGUCCGGUAGGGGCCCACGGAAUUCCUGGUGUAGCGGUGAAAUGCGCAGAUAUCGUCAGGAACGCCGGUGGUGAAGACGGGUGACUUGGCCGGUUCUGACACUGAGGCACGAAAGCGUGGGGAGCGAACGGG